GAUGAACGCUGACGGCGUGCCUAACACAUGCAAGUCGAGCGGAGAUAAAGAGGGAUUCUUUUAGAUGAACUCCUUAUCUUAGCGGCGGAUGGGUGAGUAACACGUGGGUAACCUGCCCUGCACAGGGGGAUAACAGCUGGAAACGGCUGUUAAUACCGCAUAUGCACACGCUGCCGCAUGGCAGGGGGUGGAAAGAUUUAUCGGUGCAGGAUGGGCCCGCGUCGGAUUAACUAGUUGGCAGGGUAACGGCCUACCAAGGUGAUGAUCCGUAGCCGACCUGAGAGGGUGACCGGCCACAUUGGGUCUGAGACACGGCCCAAACUCCUACGGGAGGCAGCAGUGGGGGAUAUUGCACAAUGGGCGCAAGCCUGAUGCAGCGACGCCGCGUGAAGGAAGAAGUAUUUCGGUAUGUAAACUUCUAUCAGCGGGGAAGAAGAUGACGGUACCCGACUAAGAAGCCCCGGCUAACUACGUGCCAGCAGCCGCGGUAAGAC
rnacentral:rRNA from 1 species